GAUGAACGCUGGCGGCGUGCCUAAUACAUGCAAGUCGAGCGAACGGACGACAAGCUUGCUUUUCUGAUGUUAGCGGCGGACGGGUGAGUAACACGUGGAUAACCUACCUAUAAGACUGGGAUAACUUCGGGAAACCGGAGCUAAUACCGGAUAAUAUUUUGAACCGCAUGGUUCAAAAGUGAAAGACGGUCUUGCUGUCACUUAUAGAUGGAUCCGCGCUGCAUUAGCUAGUUGGUAAGGUAACGGCUUACCAAGGCAACGAUGCAUAGCCGACCUGAGAGGGUGAUCGGCCACACUGGAACUGAGACACGGUCCAGACUCCUACGGGAGGCAGCAGUAGGGAAUCUUCCGCAAUGGGCGAAAGCCUGACGGAGCAACGCCGCGUGAGUGAUGAAGGUCUUCGGAUCGUAAAACUCUGUUAUUAGGGAAGAACAUAUGUGUAAGUAACUGUGCACAUCUUGACGGUACCUAAUCAGAAAGCCACGGCUAACUACGUG
rnacentral:rRNA from 1 species